UGAGGAAUAUUGGUCAAUGGGUGCAAGCCUGGACCAGCCAUCCCGCGUGAAGGACGACUGCCCUAUGGGUUGUAAACUUCUUUUGUAUAGGGAUAAACCUACCCUCGUGAGGGUAGCUGAAGGUACUAUACGAAUAAGCACCGGCUAACUCCGUGCCAGCAGCCGCGGUAAUACGGAGGGUGCAAGCGUUAUCCGGAUUUAUUGGGUUUAAAGGGUCCGUAGGCGGACUUAUAAGUCAGUGGUGAAAGCCUGUCGCUUAACGAUAGAACUGCCAUUGAUACUGUAAGUCUUGAGUAUAUUUGAGGUUGCUGGAAUAAGUAGUGUAGCGGUGAAAUGCAUAGAUAUUACUUAGAACACCAAUUGCGAAGGCAGGUUACCAAGAUAUAACUGACGCUGAGGGACGAAAGCGUGGGGAGCGAACA
rnacentral:rRNA from 1 species